UGAAUUUCGGGAUCAGCAGUUUGGUCGUGCCUCCGGUAUGUACUUGCAACCUCGCAUCGCUCUUCCUGAUGAACUGUAAUGCCAUUAAUUUGGUGUUGCAGGGAAUCUGGACUGUUACUUUGAAAAAAUUAGAGUGUUUAAAGCAGGCUAACGCUUGAAUACAUUAGCAUGGAAUAAUGAAAUAGGACGUUCGAUCCUAUUUUGUUGGUUUCUAGGAUUGACGUAAUGAUUAAUAGGGAUAGUUGGGGGCAUUAGUAUUCAAUUGUCAGAGGUGAAAUUCUUGGAUUUAUUGAAGACUAACUACUGCGAAAGCAUUUGCCAAGGAUGUUUUCAUUAAUCAAGAACGAAAGUUAGGGGAUCGAAGACGAUCAGAUACC
rnacentral:rRNA from 1 species